rnacentral:misc_RNA from 1 species
AACCCAUCAAGCCUGGCUUGGUAUUGGGGCCCGCCUACCAGCGGCCUCUAAACGCAGUGGCGGUGCCGUUGGGCUCUCAGCGUAGUAAUUCUUCUCGCUAUAGGGUCUUGCGGUUGCUUGCCAUAACCCCAAUUUUUUAA